rnacentral:lncRNA from 1 species
UAGGGGAGAUCAUUCUGGAAUUUUCCCAGCAUUUUUUUCAGUGUUUUCCUCAGGUUUCGUAUGAUUCCCAAACCAAUAUUAUCCAGUUUUAGUUUUAAUUUUCCUGCAAACCCUGUCACUCAGGGAGAAGAGAUAAUUCAUAGCUGCUAUGUUCCUUAGUGUCUUUGCCAAUCAAAACAUGCAGAUUGCUGUUCUACAGGCAAUGCGGUUAUCAUGAUUCAAGACAUUUGGCUCCUUUGUGAGGUUCUUCUGGCUUAUAAAGGAAAAUUCACACCAAGGAAGAAGAAAACCAUCAGGGCAUUAAAUAUUUAUUUGAAAAUUUAAAUUUUUGGCUACAGAGAAGGGCCUAGGUAGAGUUCCACAUUUAACAAGAGGGCUUACUGAAACAAUGUCUACAGACAUAACUCUCGCAAUUUGCUGACAGAUUUGCUGAACACCUCUUUUUAAAAGAGAGAUAUAACUCAGUGUUAUGAAAGACCCUUAAAUAUAAACAAAUACCUUCUAAUUUUGGUUUGUAAGGUGAUGCUGGUGAAAUAGGAAAAAUGGAUUGCCAAUCAUAUGACUUAUAGUGAUGUGAUGAGGAAAUUAUUCACCUCUUAUUCAUUCAGACUCUGGGUAACAAGCUUGAAGUCAAAAGCAAUCAUCCAUAACAUGGCUAGAAGUGUGACCUGUCAUGUCUCACACAUAGAGAAUUUUUACAUUCAGAUGACUCAUUCUCUUUGGAUUGUUUUGCUUUGGACCAAAUCUUGCUCAUUUCAAAAGAAGCUGUGUUUGGAGAAUGAGCUCUAUGAUCUAGCCACAGUGUUGGCAGUUACAGCAGGUGCUAAGGACUCUACCUAUCACAGGACAAUACCUACAUAACAAAAUUCUUUAACUUUUACUGGAAGUGUAUCCUGCGGGCUCUGACUUACAGCAUGGAACUGAAUGGAUCAAGAAGGUGCCAUGUAUUUACAUGGCAAUUACUUGUGCAUGAUUGAUUCCAGUUGACUGCAAAGAAUAUAAUGCCAUGUGUGGAUACUGAGGAGCAUCAUAUUUGAGAAGAAUUAGAUGGGAAAUAAUAAUUCCUAAUUUCCUUUUGGCCUCUUUUUUUCUAAUGAAGCUUACUCUCAGCUGCACUGUGUAGUCUUGAAUACUCAAGCAUACUUCUGCCUCAGUGCUGGAUACGUAAAGACAUCAAACAGUCCCAUGGAAAUGUGUCCAGAUUUAGUCAUAAUUACAGUCCUCGUGCACCAACUGCACUUAGUGGGAGGAACCUUGGAGGGAAGUGAGCGUGCAGUAUUCCAAAGAUGCAUGGAAGAGCCAGGAUACCUCAGAUUUUGGAGUAGGAGUGUGCUCCUUGGAAGCUGCACAAGGAGAUUAUUGUCUCUGUCAUGCAAAGGCCUUAUAAAGCUGUAAUGGUAACAUGUUUUAUAGGAAUCUGAAAAAUACACUUAUGCAGUUGCAUGUAUGACUGGGUACACACAUGGAGAGACAGGAUGGAUCAGUCUUUCUAAAGCACUCAUUUUAUUAGAUGAGCCUAGCAAAAGAUCUAUUAGGAAACGUAUAGUGCUGCACUCAGAUUGUGUCUUCAUGGGUUAUAUGUUACAUUACAAUGGAGGCUGAAACUGUCC